UACGUAGGCAGCAAGCGUUGUUCGGAGUUACUGGGCGUAAAGGGUGUGUAGGCGGCUUCGUAAGUUCGGUGUGAAAUCUCCUGGCUUAACUGGGAGGGUGCGCCGAAAACUGCGGAGCUGGAGCGCAGGAGAGGAAAGCAGAAUUCCUGGUGUAGCGGUGAAAUGCGUAGAUAUCAGGAGGAAUACCGGUGGUGAAGGCGGCUUUCUGGACUGCUGCUGACGCUGAUACACGAAAGCGUGGGGAGCAAACGGG
rnacentral:rRNA from 1 species